rnacentral:lncRNA from 1 species
CGUGGCUCGGAUACCGCGUUGCUGUGGCUCUGGUGUAGGCCGGUGGCUACAGCUCCGAUUUGACCCCUAGCCUGGGAACCUCCAUAUGCCGCGGGAGCGGCCCAAAGUAAUAGCAAAAAGACAAAAAAAAAAAAAAAAAAAAAAAAAAGUGGGGCCAACAUGGUCCCAGCCCUCUGAAUUUUUGACAGUUCCUCUUAAAACCAUUUUAUGAAUAUUUUCAGACAGAUGCGCAGAAGUAGAAUAGUACAGUGAAUCGCCCACCACUUAGGUUCAACAAUUAUCCAGACUUAGCUUCAUCUAGCCUCUACUUUUUUGGGGAUCCUGUCUGAAUUUGGGGAGACAGGAAUUAUUACAUCAGCUGCCCUGGUGUUCUGAGCAUGCCCUGAACUGUGUAUACCCUUGGAGGUUUUUUGUUUUUAUUCAGAGCAGCUUGAUGUAUUAUCAUAUAUCGUGAGCAAGUGUCUUUUCCUGCAUGUAUAUGAAAGGGAUCACAGAUCCUUCUAGGUCUUGUGAUUGCAUUGCUUUUAUUGCUGGCUUCCUCUGGCACCGUGUUGACUGUUUCCCGCUCAGUCCUUCCUCAAGGGAGGAGGUUCCCACAGCCGUGGAAGGGACCAGUUCUCCGGCAGCCCAUUGCUCCAGUCCGUUGGUGGUCACCGGACUAUCUGCUUUCUUUUGUAAGGAUGCAGCGAAUCCCUGCUCCUCCUCCCCAGGUGAGAAAUGACCGUCUCCAUCAAUCGUCGCUUUUCCUGGAUCUCCUCAUAGACAGGUAGACGCCUCUCCCCGACCUGGGUCAUCCAUUCAUCCACAUUCAAUGUGGAUGCAAUCCCCCCCCUCCUCCCUCCCUCCUUUCCUUCCUUUUUCCUGCUCUCCUUUCCUCUAUCAUAGAUGCCAAUGCAUCCAGCAGCAACCUCCCGGUCACCACUUUUUUCAACUUAUUUAACCCCCACCCGAAAAAACAAAAAACAAAAAAAAACAACGGUUCGUCUAUUUCUCCUACCUCCCACCCCACCCCUGCAACCACCAAUCUAUUCUCCCCAUCUAUCAGCCGGAUAUUUAUUUAU